GUGCUCGCUUCAACAGCACAUAUACUAACAUUGGAAAGAUACAGAGAAGAUUAGCAUGGCCCCUGUGCAAAGAUGACACGCAAAUUCAUGAAGUGUUCCAUAUUUCU